rnacentral:rRNA from 1 species
CCUACGGGUGGCAGCAGUGAGGAAUAUUGGUCAAUGGACGCAAGUCUGAACCAGCCAUGCCGCGUGCAGGAAGAAGGCUCUAUGAGUUUUAAACUGCUUUUGUACGAGGGUAAACGCAGAUACGCGUAUCAGUCGGAAAGGAUCGUACGAAUAAGGAUCGGCUAACUACGUGCAAGCAGCGGCGGUAAGACGGAGGAUUCAAGCGUUAUCCGGAUUUAUUGGGUUUAAAGGGGGCGUAGGCGGACGGAUAAGUUAGAGGUGAAAUCCCGAGGCUCAACUUCGGAAUUGCCUCUGAUACUGUGCGGCUAGAGAGUUGUUGCGGUAGGCGGAAUGUAUGGUGUAGCGGUGAAAUGCUUAGAGAUCAGACAGAACACCGAUUGCGAAGGCAGCUUACCAAGCUACUACUGACGUUGAGGCACGAAAGCGUGGGGAGCAAACAGGAUUAGAUACCCGAGUAGUC